GCCUUCUGAAGGUUUCUGCGACCCCGGGGUGCCUGCACGGAGCUUAGGGGACCUCGAUCUGGGCAGGGCGGGCGGCCAGGGUGCAGGUUCCCACCCCGGCUCCACCCGCUGCGCGACAGGCAGGUGGUGGGUGGCGGAGCCGCUGCGGUCAGGUGCUCGCAGGCGCAGGCGCUGCGCGGCGGCCUCCUCGGCUGCCACCCUGCCGCUGUCCAGCUCCAGGCGCUGAGGCGGCCCGGGUGUCAACAGAGCAUCAGGAGGCACUGACCCCAGAGCCCCUCCACGUCCCCGGGAACGGCCGGCCCCCCGUCGCCGCCGAGGGCCCUCGACCAGGAUGGACAGCCAGGGGAAGGCUGCUUGUCUCCACGCCUCUCCGACGGCUCUUCUUCCGGCCCCUCCAGCCCAGGUGGAAUCCUUGAAGCUGGAGUCAGGACUGCCGGGCUUGCGGAGACGUGGGCUCCCCAGGAAGUGCUGAGCCCAUGAUCAGAGCUGCACCCCCACAAGAAGUCACCAUGUGGAUCCCCAGAGGGGAUACUCCGGAAGUGCUUCCAUUCGGCCACCAGCAGCUGUGAUGUCCCCUGACCGUGCAUCCUGGGUCCCAGGGGAUGGUGGGUAGGGGAGCCAGGCGAGGAAGUGAGUCACAGCCCUGUGGGGUGAGCUCCCCGAGGGGAAGGGAUUGCGUAGAGUACUUGGGGGAAUUUGUGAGCCUUCAAGCUGGCCUCUGCUGCGACAGGGGCCAGCAGCCUCGUCCGCUCUGUAGUCCACUCCGGCUGCUCCCUGUAGCCAGGGGUGCGGCAUGGCAGGAACAGGCCACAGGGCAAGGGAGGAGUGUGGUGGGCUCAGAAGGCUCUGGGGAGAGGGUGCCUUGCUCCUGGUGCUGAAAGGACAGCGCCCGGCUUGGGCAGAGGCCGCGCCAAGUCCUGGCGGAAGCUUUUCCGCAAACUGGAGUGGGGCGUCAUGUGCAUCUGAAUUUUUCCACUCCUCUUCUCUGGAGCCUGUCAGUGCCGUCUUGGCAAAGAUGGUUUGAGCCUGAAAGCUUUUCCCAUCUAUUUUUAAAUAAAUGGAAUUCCUGUCACUUGCA
rnacentral:lncRNA from 1 species